AGUGAACGCUGGCGGUAGGCCUAACACAUGCAAGUCGAACGGCAGCACAGUAAGAGCUUGCUCUUACGGGUGGCGAGUGGCGGACGGGUGAGGAAUACAUCGGAAUCUACUUUUUCGUGGGUGAUAACGUAGGGAAACUUACGCUAAUACCUCAUACGACCUACGGGUGAAAGCAGGGGAUCUUCGGACCUUGCGCGAUUGAAUGAGCCGAUGUCGGAUUAGCUAGUUGGCAGGGUAAAGGCCCACCAAGGCGACGAUCCGUAGCUGGUCUGAGAGGAUGAUCAGCCACACUGGAACUGAGACACGGUCCAGACUCCUACGGGAGGCAGCAGUGGGGAAUAUUGGACAAUGGGCGCAAGCCUGAUCCAGCCAUACCGCGUGGGUGAAGAAGGCCUUCGGGUUGUAAAGCCCUUUUGUUGGGAAAGAAAAGCAGCAGGUUAAUCCCCCGCUGUUCUGACGGUACCCAAAGAAUAAGCACCGGCUAACUUCGUG
rnacentral:rRNA from 1 species